GAAGGCUUGAACCCAAGGCUUGACCAAGCUCAUUCAUGGUUUAGCAAGGUAUUUGAACUGAGCCACUGAACUUGAGCAUAGAGGGAGGAGAGAAAGAUGACAAACUACUUCUUUCAAUGAAGAAUGGUUUCUGGUAAGAGAGCAUUUUGGAGUGGGAUGGAGACAAAACACUGUAUCUGGAAUUCAUUUUCUUCAUUGAAGAUUUUCCAGAUUCAGAUCUCAGCUCCUGACAAGGGAUUCAGGGCAGAACUAAAAUAUGAUGACUGACUUGGCAGCAGG